rnacentral:rRNA from 1 species
AACGAACGCUGGCGGCAGGCCUAACACAUGCAAGUCGAACGAGAUCUUCGGAUCUAGUGGCGGACGGGUGAGUAACGCGUGGGAACGUGCCCUUCUCUACGGAAUAGUCCCGGGAAACUGGGUUUAAUACCGUAUACGCCCUUCGGGGGAAAGAAUUUCGGGGAAGGAUCGGCCCGCGUUGGAUUAGGUAGUUGGUGGGGUAAUGGCCUACCGAAGCCGACGAUCCAUAGCUGGUUUGAGAGGAUGAUCAGCCACAUCCUACGGAGGCAGCAGUGGGGAAUCUUAGACAAUGGGGCAACCCUGAUCUAGCCAUGCCGCGUGAGUGACGAAGGCCCUAGGGUCGUAAAGCUCUUUCGCCAGGGAUGAUAAUGACAGUACCUGGUAAAGAAACCCGGCUAACUCCGUGCCAGCAGCCGCGGUAAU